AUCACUUUGUCAUGGAAGAUCAAGACAUCUUGAUUAUGGAGUAUCCACGUUCCUACAUCAGCCUGUUUGAUUAUGUCCAACGAAACAGCAGUAACCUGACCGAAACCGAGGUGAAACUCAUCAUUCAGGGGCUCAUUGUUGCUCUUCAUCACUGCAUGAGUCGUGGUGUUUAUCGUCGGCACGCAUAUGAAAAACAUCCUUGUCCACACAAAAACCCUGCAUGUAAAGCUGAUGGACUUUGGAGGCGCACUGCUCGUCGAAGAAAGACGAGAAGAUGAACCUCUAUUAAUCAGUGCAAUCAGAAAAUAUGCUGAAUGGGCAACAACUGAGGACUUACGCAUACUGCUGGAUCUGAUGGUCCCGAGAAUAACUCGUUGCUUUUGGAUAAGACCACGCGUGUCCAAAGAAUGCCUGGAUCUUCUUGAGCACCUUCAUGAUGUAAAGUCACGGAUGACGUUACAGGCUAUGUUGAAGCAUGACUGGUUUAAAAGAAAAACUGAAGCAUAAGAAAAGUUCCCCUGCAUUGGCAGCUCAGGGCCUAUAGUUCAGCUGUAUGGGUCAUCAGCCGGGGACGGUUCACGCUUUAACCCUGGAGCGUGGAUAAGACCACGUGUGUCCAAAGGUGAGACCAACAACAGGUUCCCCUGCAUUGGCAGCUCAGGGCCUAUAGCUCAGCUGCGGGGUCAUCAGACUGGGACCCCGGGGACGGUUUACGGCUUUAACCCCGGGACGUUCCCCUUCCACCCCUGCAUGAUGACACUCAUGGCAACUGUCCUCUACUUGUGAACUGUUUGUGUGCCACCAACCCUCUCAGAACAUUAUCGCGUCCCACUGAUAGCGGCCUUGUGCGAGCCCCACCUUGCAGCCUGACAGGAUGUGCUGGAGGCUUACAUUUGGACUCCGUUCUUCCAGGCCAGACCACCAUGUUUCAGACAAGCGUCGUGGCAAGCCCAGCCAUUUUCCUGAAUUACUGUGGACAGUGGAUUUCACACAACUUCAGUGUCACACAGUUUAACGCCACACCUUGUACUUGCCUGGAAGCUGGCUUUAAUCAAUCCUUCCUUAGUGAAAAAAUAGCACAAUUUAUUCAAAUGUAAUUUAGUGUAACUAAAUGUAUUUGUGGCACACUGUAAAUUGUUAUACUUAAAGUCUGUUCAAGUGGAUCAGCUCAUUUUGUACUAAAUGCAUUUUAGUUGUCCAAAAGCAGUGCUGAAGUUCAGGUUGUAUUAAUUGUAAACUUGAAGUGUGCUAAUGGCUUCAUUAUUGUGUGAUUCUAAUACAAUAAAGUGAUCUUUAAAAAUAAUGGCACAGCUUAGGAAUUUGCCUUUUACUGGUAUUUUACAGACACCCCCUAGUAUACCAGUAAAGCUCACUUAUCUAGAGAUCAGAGAGACAUUGGGAACAGAUAUAUGUACACCCAUGGAUUCAAACCCGGGUCUGUAAAUGUUAGAAAGUCAUGCAAAUAUUUCCAUUUUGCUGCUAAACUUCACAGUGAACAAGCGCAAUAGAAGUGCAAUAAUUCUAAAAUAUACAUUUCGCUAAAAUACGAGGCGUCUAAUCGACGGUAAUCCAUCCAUAUCAGCUGUGCCAACACGCAUAAACUAGAGCGGGAUUGCAUGACACUUGUACGUACAAUCAAUCAUUUCUCCUCUCAAACUCACUAGAGCAUGUCCAAAGCAACAGGCCGGAGUUAUGAAAUAUUCGGUGUCUGAGAUUUCCGGUGACACUGGGCGGAGCUUACAUGAAUAUUCACGAGGCUACAACUGUUUUGAUUUUAUUUUAGUUCGUUUGAGGAGAUAACUUGUAUAAAUGUAUCUGUGGUUGCAUAACAAAAGUUUCAGUUGUGAUUGUGUCAUUCCCUAUUGCUUUCUCAGAUCGCCUGCAUAACUUUAACCAGGCAUUAUUAUUUUUAAAACACAUUGAGAGUUAGAUUUAUGUUCUGUUUAUAUUUUUGACAUGCAUUAAUUAAUGUAAACCUUCUUUAUCCUUUUCUGCAAAACACACAAUGCUCUCUAUAUGAACAGAAACAUGAUGAGACAGUGAUAUUAGCUUCCCUGCAGCACUUUCACAAGGUUUUAUUUUAAUGCGCUUUCCACAACAAUUAAAAUGUUAAAAUUGAAUUACAAGUGGUUAAAUUGAUCAGCUACAAAACUAAAAGUUACUAAUGCAGGUUUUAUUUAAAAAUAUUUAUAUGGAGAAGACAAUUGGCAAAAGUGUGAGGAAUAUUAUUGAUAUGUGGAGAAUCAGACAUAUAUACAUACUACUGUGAUUGUUCUGUCAUUUCAUAAUUGCUUGCUCAGUUGGUAAAUAUUUUUAAAGAGACUUUAUUAAAUCCUAAAGUUAAGUGUUACUUUUUUCAUAUUAUAAGGAAACAUUCUGAAUCUUUUUUCCCACAAAAGGAUGCAUUUCAUUGACAAAAAAAAAAAAAAAAAUGUAAUGUGGAAAAAACAUGAAGCACUGUGAAUCAGGAUUCAGUUUAACAGUGUUGAUAUGAAACUAUAUGGAACUAAAUGAUCAAACCUGCAGUAUAUUCACAAUGAAAUGUAUUAGUUCUAUUCUACAAGCUUUCCAUAACAAUUAAAAUUUUAUUUAUGUUAAAUUAGCUGCUAAAAUAAUAGACCAUGUAGUAAUUUGCAUAUCUGUAAUAUAUCAAAGAUGAAAGUAAAUAAUGAGAGUAGUUUCAUUUUGAAUAAAAAAAGAGCAACUGAUUCUGUGUUGAAAUUUUAUUCACAAAUGAGGAGAAGUCACGACAUAUAAUAUGACAUAUAUAAUUAGCAAAAACACUUGUAUUUAAACACACAUUAACACACUUUACACAGGGUCUUUGGUUUGGUCUGCUCUUGUGAUCCCAGUGAUUCCAGCCUUUGAUACUGACACAUUCAAUCUGAAAUAUAUAAUAAAAUGACAUUACAACAAACAUGUAUUAUUAAAAUACUUUUGUCUGGUGUACAGGGAUAUUUAUUGGCAAAAGUCAUAUUUGGGAAUUAAAGAAUAUUGGCUAUAGAUAUUAUAUUAGUUAUCACAUGCGUAAUUCACAGUGGCCUAUUUGGUUUGUCAUUAAACUAUAUUUAAAGUACAUUAACAUGUUUUCUUGCAUGUGUGCAAUUUUUGAAACAUAUUAAAUAUAGAAAUUCAAGUCUACCCAGAUUAGAAGUGCUUCUGCAAACUAGGAAAGUUCACUGCUGCCUUCACCACAGGAGUUUACAAUUAAUAUUAUUAUGCUACCAUACAUUUCGGCAAACUUUUAAAACUAUAUGCUUAAAAGACUGAAGGUAAUACAGAAACAACAAAAAUAGGCUACUUAAAACGCUAUUGGCUCGUUUAGCGAAUCCUAACGACACCUCUGGCGAAUCAUUGGCUGUGUUCAUAUCAAACAUAGCUAACACAUGACACGACAUAACAUAACACAAAAUAGCUUAUAUAUAAAAUAUUGUGCAUCAGUAACAGUUAGAAUAUAAGCUUGACAUCGUUUAACACUGAAACAUAGGAUUAUUACCUUUAAUGUAAGCCGAAGAGUGUGCGCUAACAUUUUCAGUGGCGCUUUAACUCAAAACAGGAAACUCAUGAAUAUUCAUGUAAGCUCCGCCCAGUGUCACCGAAAAUCUCAGACACCGAAUAUUUCAUUACACUGGGUUAUUGUCAGACCGCCCGCUCCCGCCUAUUGCACUCUAAAGUUACCGACCGCAAUCCGCCUUUCAUUCAAAAUUCAUUGUGGGACUGUCUCGUAAUGGCUGAAAUUCUGCACCAAGGCUGAAUUUCUGGCAAGAGACUUCAGAUACAGUACUUGGGACCACUUAGGCCUAUAUAAAAGCAUCCAAAAAGCAGCAUGUCAUGGGACCUUUAACUCGUCAGAUCUGAACUCAAGACUGAAGAUAGAAAGUUUCUGUAAUAGAGCCAGACCAGAGCAAAGCAUGCUGGGAACUGCCCAGUUUCGGUUCAUGCAACACAAAUGAUGAAGUGAACUUCAGUUUGACGUGUUUAAGUGGAUUUACUCCAUUAAAUCAGGACAGAAUGUGCAGUAAUUGUGUGCUUUAACUCAUUUUAAUGAAGUUCAUUUAACAAGCAGCAGAAAUCAUGUUUACAGUCACUUCCCAAAAGAUAUUUCUAUCUGAGAGCUUUAUUUUGAGUGUAAUAAUUGCCACAGCUUCUGGAAGCCCUUCUCCUUCAUAUAUGCUUCCCUGGGUGCUUCUCAAUACUCCAAUGGAUGCUUCCUCAUUUUUUAGGUUUUUAGCUCCAUCCUCCAGCCUGUGACCUGGAAAAUGAUCAAAGAAAGUCUCGGAGGCCAUUUUAAUUCUAUAAAUGCACCGCAAGAAGGUGAGGAACCAGGAAGCCCGAGGAGCUUUGAGCGAGGAUGCGCAGAUGCAUAGACAUCUAAUACUAUUAGUUUCUGUUAUGCUAAUUAUGAAUUGUUAAUAGAUUAAUACUAGUCCCCAGAUCCCUCAAGAUUCGAGCACAGCUGAUGACGCUUUAAACUGAUGCUCAAGGGAUCAAGAAUAUUCCAAUGUACCCGUCCUCGUUUUCUUUUCUUGCAUCCUCUCGUUGCAUCUAUGGGGUGAAGCUGAGGCGCAAGGAAAGAGAUAAAUAAGAAAAGAAAAGCACACUGUCUCGUCUUCUCUACAAACACACUGUUUUUAAAGAAUGAUGAUGUGACUGUACGUCAGGUGACCUGUAAAUGCGGAAAAAACGUUUCCAUUGCAGUUUUGCGAAAUAUUCCUUUUUCGAAUUGCCUGAAAAACCACCUCGUGAAUGUAAACACUUUUUUGCAAUGUUUUGAAGGGUACAUAUAAAUAAAUGCAUAUUGUAAGACAAUGAAAGUGUUUUUUGAUCUUGCAUGCCUGUAAACAUGUUGUUAAGGACUCAAACAAAAAUAGGAACCUUUCAAAUCCCAUAAUAGGGGAACUUUAAAUUAAUGAUUAAUCUACAUUUUGUAAUGAUGAACAAGAAAUACUGACAUUUUAUUAAUAAAAUAUGUCAUGAUUAAACCCAAAAACACAACAUAUACUGUACAUCUAUUCAAUAUAUAUAAAACAGAGUUUAAAAAGCUUAAAUUAUAUAAUAACAUCUAGUCCUGCUGGUAAGUUGAUAACUAAGUUUGGAUGGUUUGAGCCCAAGAUUGAACUAUAAACUACACACAAGUUUACUUAUUUUGUCUUUCAGCUCCUAGUUGUGUUAAUCGAGUCAAAUAUGUGUUAUUUGUGACGUUUAGAUGAAGAGUGUGUUAAUUGGCCUGCUUGUGAACUCUGAACUUUAUUUUCAUGUCUAUUUCAUUUAAGACUUCUCAAGCAACAUUGAUGCACUGUAUUCUGAUCAGCCUUUUGGUGCUGUUUGUCCCACGUAUGUGUUUGAUUCGGUUUUGUCAUGUUCUGUGUUUAAAAUAAUAUUAGUUGACUGUUGGCUAUUAGCCCACAUGCUCUAUCGUCUCACAUGUGCUCUCCUGUGUAACUGCGCCAUUUUAACCCAUUUGUGCCCAAGUUUUUCUGAAUGGUUUCAUGCAUAUAUUCCUGUUAAAUAGUGUCCUAUGUGAACAUGUUCUGCAUUUAUUUUCCCCAGGUUUUUGUUUUUUUUCUUAAAAAACCUAUUUGUAUGUGUGGCAACUAUAUGUAGCGGUGUAACAACAUAUCCCUGCUACAUCUAAAAACUGAGGUAUAUCACUGAUGUAUUUUGAGUUUGCACGCUUCACCUGUGGUGUGUGUGUGAUUGUAAAUGUCUCAGAGUUUUGUUCAUUCUGUGCCCAUCAUACGUUAUUUCUGCCACUUUUCAUUAAAACAUGACGUUUUAUUUCUCAUUUCUUUUCGUUUCGCAUUGUCUCUAAUAUUGAGGUAUUUAGUCCACAAACAUGACAGUAUUCUUACCGCGACUGAGGCCCUGUCCCAAAUGGCACCCUAAACAUUCACGGCCUUUCUACGACUCCGCACUUUCGUGACGUAACGUUGCUUUGAGUGUCAGGAAGAAGUCUGCUGCGGAGCUCGCACCAGUGCAGGCUCAGCAAAAGUGCGCAUCGAGGGCGCAUAACGGCCGCAAAGGGUGCGCUCGCAAACACCCUUCUGAAGCCUAAAAUUGAAAAAUGGGACACUGUACGGUCUAGUGGACUUAACGGACAUGCGCACGCAGAAGCCACUGUAAGUCCACAAGACCGAAAGUGCAUAGAAGUGUGCCAUUUGGGACAGGGCCUGAUUUGGCUCAGACCCGCUCACACGUGCUCAAUCGUUCUCUUUCUAUGAAACCUGUAAACCAGUUCUAACUCUAUAGCGACAAUAACUCUAUAGCGGUUGACCAGAGCACUGCAAUUAUUUCUCAUUUAAACUACAAUCCAAUGGAUUUUCCCCGAUUUUCCCACACAUGAUUUCUGUCCUCUGCACGGCAAUUAUUCUUUCUGCGCGGCUGCGGCAUCAGAAGUGCGUGGUCGUGCACGUGCGCAGCUUAGAGGGAACAUUGAUAAUAACUGUGUAAUAUGUUUGUAUUAUUAUUAUAUUAUUCGUGUCAUUUUUUGUAAUAUUAUUUUUAACAAGUCAUCUACGUAAUAAUUAUAUUACAUCAUAUUAGUGUGUCACAGUGUUUGUGUACUUAGCACGAGAAUUUAUUUAUUCAAAUUUUAUUAUAGUAUUAUUAUAUACUGUACCAUUACUAUUAUUGUGUGAAAUUAAUAUUAAAUUACUUUUACAGAACAUAGUAUGUUGUAACAAUCAUUAUGUUGGUUUAUGUUAUGUCUUUAUUAUUAUCUUAUUUAAGAACAUUUUAUUAAGUGGAAAAAUACAUUGUCAUGCAUGGUUGUGUUUCUAAUGUAAUACACAGCUUAAACAUAGUUUAAUAGGCUUUAAUUAGUCAACCACAAUUAUUUCAGGUUAUUAAGAUUUUAUUUGCACAAAAGAUGUCGUCUUACUUUUUAUUUGUCGUCUAUCGUCAAAAAAGUCCCCACUGUUGCUUGACCCUUGAUAUUCAACAAUGUUUUUGAUCUGCACUGACAUCGUUGUAUUGUAUGCUAAUUGAACUGAGCUGGAUGAUGACAUCGCUGUUUUCUCUAGUGCUGAUAAAUUAACUAAAUUAUUAACUAUUAAUUUUUACAACCAAAUUUAACAAUACUGAAGAUGAAUACUGACACUAUUUUCUUUCAGAGCUGCUGUGCAGCCAAAACUAUACACCAGUUAUCACUGUAAAGCUGCUUUGACACAAUCUGCAUUGUAAAAAGAGCUGUAUAAAUAAAGGUGACUAGACUUGUUUCAGCAGUUGGUCAAAAGUGACGCUAUAAUGCUUUAGUUUUUAUACACAUAGUGAGAAAAACAAAUGUAACCGUGGCAAGUGAAGAAAACACCAUGAGAUGGAGAUGAGGAAGAAACCGGGGGUAAUUGUGCUGCGUUCAGUCACUAACAUUAUCUUCUCUGUAACCCAGAUGAUGCCGGCAGUGGCAGGAACAGUGAAGAGUGCUGAGGUGCGUUCAUCCAUUAAACAAUCCCUUGCUGAAGAAGAAGCAGUUCAUCCUCCAUGAGGUCGACUGUGGAGGACUGGAGCUUCAUCACUGUCAACAUAUCUUGAGAGGAUCAGAGGGGCAGGACAAAGAUCCUGCAGUAAAGAGAAAUGAAUUCUGGUUUAUGUUAUGUUAAAUAGUCAGAAAUUAAUCAUGUGAUAAAUCUUAAACUCAAUCAGUUUUGUAUUAAAUGGAAACUUUUCUAGCUGGACAGUGUGUAUUGUAUUGUAUUGUAUUGAUACAGUAUACUGUUUCACAGUUUGUUGUUUAGAAUGACAUUUUAUAAUUAAAUCCAACAUUACUCUUGACAAAUCAUGCAUUAUUUGAAAGUCCAAAGACUCAAGUUUUGAUGUUUGAUAACUAUUUGCUUAUUAUCUGAAGCGACAUAUGUAACCCAUGUUAAAUGUGGAGCCUAAAGAAAAUAAAUAAUAAAAUUGUAUAAUCUACUAAUUACACUUUUAAUUAAAAAGUUUAAACGUUCUAUUAAUAUGCAUCGUAAAUUAAUUGUGUAUAAAUAAAAAUAAUUCGUAUUAUAAUUAAGCGCAGAACACGUCAUGUAUUACACGAACACGUCGUGUAUGACGUAAGCAGAUGCCUCACGGAAAUGCGCGAGACUCGCUGAACACGAGACGAAAGAGCGAUACUAAGGGAUUAAAAAGGUUUAUGUUGUUAUAAUUAAUUUAAUAUGGGUAUGAGUAACUUUAUAAUACUUUAUGUUUUAUGAUGAUGAAUGGUUUUAGAGUGAUGAUUGCUGAUUUAAGCGUGGAUGAUAGCGGAUUGUGAUCCUCUGAAUCUGAAGCGGGUGUUUAUCAAACUGAAACUCGGGAAUCGGUGAGUUUAUUGAUCGAGUUGAGAAAAUCUCUGGUUGAUUUGAGAUGGCGGGUCAUCCAAAAAAGAAGAAGAAUGCUGAUUCCUGAACCUGGGAAAAAGACACUUUUGCUGCAUCACGAGGAUUUCUUUAAUUCUUUAACUUUGUUCAAUUCUCUUUCGUUCUUUAAACUGGUAUUAUUUACCCACAAUUUGGUUGAAUUGUGGGUAUAUAAUAUUGUACCGUGUUUGAUGGUUUAUUUGUUUUGUUUAAAACGGAAUAGAAAGUAAUAAUGCUGAAAGCAAAAUAGAAUAAGACCCUAAACCCCAAAAUUAAAGAGACAGUGAAGCUUAAGAGCUGUCCAAAAUACAGCUAAGAUAAAUAAAAGUCUUACUAAAAUCUACAUACACAGAAAUAGUGUAGAUAACUUACAUAAGAUUUGUUUCUCUUUUUGAAACAAUUUAAACAAAAGAAAAGAAGAAAACCAAAGACUGAGAAUUAUUAUUUUGUGUAUAUAUAUAUAUAUGAGUAUCUUCCUCACAUGGUUUUGUGAUUCAUUUACUGCUAGUAUUAAUUCUGUUCUCCACUAAGCUAGAAACUGGUCCAUUGCUCCAGCUUACUUUGAGGGCCCUUGUUUCUCAUACCAUUUGUAAUUGUUUCAUAAAGUCCUAAUGGAGCAUGGCUGUCACCUGGUGGUGUAACACCUAAUCAAAUGUCACUCGUAUUUAAUUCUUACUUUUGCAUUAAACUAGGACUGGGUGAUAUGGCAAAAAUCUAAUCUCGAGAUUUUUUCCCCAUAUUGAUCGAUAACGAUAUAUAAUCUGUUAAUGCUGCCAGUUUUAAAAGUAUCCCAACUAUGACUGAAGCCACAAAAAUUUGAGGGUUCAUUAAUUACAUUUUCAAGUAUAGUUUAUUAACAAAACAGAUUACACAUUUGGCCUUAAAAAAUGUAAGACAACCACUUACUAAAAUAAAUUUAAAACUAAAACAUGUUGCAAAAGAAGGUAAAUGAGAGUAAAUGUGCUAAAUGUAAACAUAAAAUUUGUUAAGGCAAUUACAGUUUUUUUUUUUUCUUUUCCAGAAAGACAGUUUUUUUUUCUUUUCCAGAAAGAUAAGUCUGUCUACAUCGUCUAAAGUAGCUUGCUAUGUGCUCUGAUGUUCAUUCAGCAUCUGAGCCUCGGCUCUGGAUCUCACAGUCUCAACCUUGUCAUCUUUGAUGUAAAGCAUCUUGAAACGAGGAUCAACAAUGGAUGCUAUGUUCAGGAGGUCAUCAGUGGCUGCAUCAUCAUCAUAUUUCUCAUUCAGAUAGCCGAUGACAGAAGCUAGUUCUCUCAGGGUUCCCACUCGUCCUGGAAAACCUUGAAAACCUGACAAAAUUUCCAGUCCUGGAAAACACAUGGAAAAUUUAUAGUUUAUGAAGGCUUGUUUUCUUUUACAGAUAAAAUGAGCCAAAAAGAGAUUUAUCUCAGACUGAAAGGUCAAAAAUGAUUAAAUUCCCACGAGAAGGAUGCAAUACUAGAAAUUGCAGUUAAGGCAUGACCAUUGGACAGCAAAAUGCUCAUUAAGUCA